GAAAUAAAAAGGAACGGGAAGAAAACACUGCUGAUCCUGAGGAUGCUGCCGCCUACUCCACCAUCAUCUACACCAAGAAGACCAAGAAUAAAAGAUGUGUCCCUGACCCUGUGAUCUACAGCAACGUGAGAGUUUUUUCCAACUGAUCUAAACAGCUCCAGUUCUACCAUCAACAAACCAAAGUAUUUUCAAAAAGCUUCACAACUUCUUUGUACAGGAAGGAGCAUCUUUCCCACCUUGAACAGGAAGAGUUAAAAGUGCUCGACCAUGAUACAGACUUGUUGCAGAUUACCAGUUACAGUAUCAGCUGUGUGAGGCAUGAAACUGAGGUGGAGAGUAUGGGAAAGAAGAGAGAAUAUGAAAAACAUAGUGGUUAGUUUACUGUUUCUUUACAUGAUUUUUUAUUUCCUUUCAUCCUUUUAAUCUUUAACUCUUGUUUAAUUCUCUCUAUCUGCAAAUGAACACAUACUGGUAUCUGUUAAAUCUGAUUUUAUGUAUCUCUGCUAUGCUUUACUGUGAAUAAUGACUCACACAGGACUACAAAUACCUUUACCUGUAUGGUUUGACACCUUUUAAGUCACAUGACUGUUGCCUGUUGAGGUUUUAAUGAUAAAAAAAACCAAACAUCUCUGCUGCAGUUGUUCCCACGUUCAUUUAAAGUUAGCAUCUAACACAAACUAACACCUCAUUAACCACUGAUGCUCCACCAUGAUGAGCCUCAUGACAUCAUGCUUUAAUGUUCAGUUAUUUUAACAUAUAAACCUUUGAGUGGUCUAGCACCUCUCUGCUUCAGCCCUACACU